AUUGAACGCUGGCGGCAGGCCUAACACAUGCAAGUCGAGCGAGCGGCGGAAGGGUGAGUGAUGUCUGGGAAACUGCCAGAUGGAGGGGGAUACCUACGGGAAACGGUAGAAAAUAACGCAUAACAUCAGAUGUGCUCAGAUGGGAUUAGCUAGUAGGUGGGGUAAUGGCUCACCUAGGCGACGAUCACUAGCUGGUGUGAGAGGAUGACCAGCCACACUUGAACGGAGACACGGUCCCGACUGCUACGGGAGGCAGCAUUGGGGAAUAGUGCACACUGGGGGCAAGACUGAUGCAGCCAUGCCGCAUGUGUGAAGAAGGCCUUCGGGUUGUAAAGCACUGUCAGCGGGGAGGCGUUACCCGCAGAAGAAGCACCGGCUAACUCCGUGCCAGCAGCCGCGGUAAUUC
rnacentral:rRNA from 1 species